GGAGACGUCUACAAGGUAAGUUACCAACCAAUUCCUAGAGAGUAGGGGAACUGAACAAGAUUGUGAUCACUACACACAAUCACACAAUGAUUUAGGCAGACAUAUCAAGCUUCUGGUUUGGGGGCUGCAUUAGACCCUCUCUUUCCUACUUGUAUAUAAGUCAACCUUUCUGUCUGUAUUACAGGGACGACACCAUCGUAGAGGCGUGGUAGCGGUGAAGAUCGCCAACAUCAGCCGAGAUGAAGAGUCAGUCUGCAGGGAGCUGAAGUUUCUCCAGCAGUUCGGAGGCCACAAGAACAUCGCCUCUUACUAUGGAGCCUACUACAGGGCUCCACUCACGGAGUGCUCAUCGGAGCUCUUGGAAGUAAGAAAUGAUUUACUGUAUCGUGUUCAUUCCUCUUGUGCCAAAACAAUCUCCACUGGAAGUGACAGAAUACAUGACCUGAAAUAAUUUCUAUAUAUUGCAGAUUGUUCUUGAAUACUGUGGUGGAGGCUCUCUGUACAACCUCAUCAGUAAGACCAAUGGCCAAUCCCUGAAGGAGACCUGGAUUGGCUAUGUCUGCAAGGAGGUUUUAAAGGUAAGGCCAGAUUUACCUCUUAAGGACUCUUCUUUAAUUGCAUCAAUUAUAUAUACAAUCUCUUUGUUGGGAAUGUUUAUAAUCUCAUAACCUACAUCUCAAUCUCCCCAGGGGCUGCACCACAUCCACAAGAACGGGGCCGUUCAUAAAGACAUCAAGAGCCCGAACAUCAUGCUCACAGAGACGGCCAAAGUGAAGAUCAGUGAGUAAAACUUACAGUUAUAAGAGUAAUGGAUGGUGGGGAGCUUCUGCGAAUAUGGAGUCAGGGGGUUUCAUAAUUCAGGUUUCUAUCUUAUUGUGGUUAAACAAGUUAUUUUCCAUUAAUGGAUUCUAUCUGUCAUUUCAGUCGACUUUGGACACAGCUGGGACCUGGACCCGCAAACUGGGUUGUGCCACGAAGCGGAAGGGACACCACAUUGGAUGGCACCCGAGGCCAUAAGGCAGAAGGGCCAGCGCCUGGCGUACGACACCAAAUGUGACAUCUGGUCGCUGGGGAUAACCGCCAUCGAAAUGGCUGAAGGAAAACCACCAUACACAGGGCAAUAUCCAGUUGAGGACCUGAUAAUUGAAGCCCAACCACCGAAGCUUCAAUCGAACACCUGGUCACAGCAUUUUGUGUCCUUCUUGGAGUCCUGUCUGAAAAAGGAUCCUUCGGAGAGAGGGAGUGCUGAAGAACUCCUGCAGCACCCAUUCGUCACCCAAAUACCACCUAAGAAGAUCGUCAGGGCUGAGAUAGAAGAACAUCUCCGGACUCUGCAGAACUUGCCGGCCAAGAAAGGACUGAAGGGAGUUGCUCUCUCAAAGCUGCGGCGUGCUUGUGACUUCUGCACACAGACAUCGGCAGAACAAGAAGCAGCUCUGCAAAUGGCCCUGGAAGGCUUCUCCUGUUAUUGAUAUUGUGGCCAAUAACAUCAACAGCCCAGAAUGAGUUUCCUAAAUCACAGCCAAGGAAAAAGAAACAUCCACAGGAUCCAGUGGCAUUUGCAGCUCCACCAGCAACAUCUCCUUUCAAGCUGAUGCAGUUCAGCAAGUGGUAACUUCAAGAUUCCUGCAACAACACCAGCAGGGACUUUAUCUCCUCGAUCAUAUUCUUUUCAGACCACCACAUCUCCACCAGUGGAGUCUUUGCUUCAUUUUACCUCACUCCACCCACACACAUCUCCACCUCAGUUUGAGGUGCCAUAGUUCCAUCCAUCUUCCUUUUUUUGCAGACUACUACAACCCCAACAUCUUGCCUUAAGCAUCUACAUUUCACAGAACCAUAGCUCCAACAUUCAUAUCUACCUCUACAGCUCCAGCAGCAUUCACAUUUUCAAACACCAUAGCUCCACUAUUAGGACCUUAGUUUUCAUUAGUAUCCAAUUACCAAUCUACCCAAGGACUUUUAAUUUAACUUUAGCUCCAUCACGAGCCCUUAUUCCAUAUUUUACCUCUAACCGCAAGCUCUGUCCUUCUGCUAACACACCUCCACCAAUAUCUUCUUUUAUUUACAUAUCAUCAAGAGUUUCUCCUCUUUAAAAUAUCUUUUAAUCCUUGCCCUUCUUACUACACCUCCAUUUAGUCACCACCACACAGCACACACUAAAAUGAUGCCCUCUACGCAGAGGCUUCUCUUCUCCAUUUUUUUCUUUUGCCUCCCCCCCUGCAAUCUCCUAACAACAAUUCCUCAGUGGUUUGACUAUGAAGCUUUUCAUUCAUCCAGGUCAUGGUAUAUCUAGUAUAGGUAAA